GGACGGGUGGCCGAGUGGUUUAAGGCAGCGGUCUUGAAAACCGCCAGAGGCGCGAGUCUCUCGUGGGUUCGAAUCCCACCCCGUCCGCCA
rnacentral:tRNA from 1 species